AACCUCUGUACUGAUGAUGCGACGAUGUACCGCAACAAGCACCCCGCCGCCAGUUCGCUUAUCGCUAUUAAGCGUGUUUCUGUCGAAACGAUAGACCAAAAAACACGAAGGAAAUAGUAUACCGUCUUGUACAGAAGAGUCCAGGGUUUCCCACGAUCAGCGGAGCAACAGGACGAAACUCUAUUCCAUCGGUAACAACAGAUAGAAUUCCUCACACAAAUUUCCGUUAUUGCUGCAUCGCAACCGUCGGCUGGAUGGGAGCAGCGAGCGGUGUGGAGAAACAGUCCCGCUGCUGCGAUGGACUAUCUCGUCGUCGCUCGUCUCGAAAAAUAGUGUUGUUACGUUCGGUACCCACAAACUCGCGGAAAUAAAUUCCCUUUUGCCAGCUUGUUGGCUGCAUUGCUCUUUCCUUCCACUUCAUCCCCACUCCGAUCCUGAACGAUAUGAAGGAGAGUUGAUUGAGAUCAACUCCUCUUCGAACCAACUUGAUCACUUCAACCGAUUCAUUCAUUUCUAGAUUCCGCUGUACGAGACUUGAGAUCUCCUCCACAGUGGCGUGUGGAGAAAAUCUCGAUAAAAACAGCCAGAAUUUAGGUUCUCGUGCAGCGGUAUGCACGAUUGGAACGGACAAAGCGGG